GAUGAACGCUGGCGGCGUGCUUAACACAUGCAAGUCGAACGGGAUCCCAGGAGCUUGCUCCUGGGUGAGAGUGGCGAACGGGUGAGUAAUGCGUGACCGACCUGCCCCAUACACCGGAAUAGCUCCUGGAAACGGGUGGUAAUGCCGGAUGCUCCAGUUGGAUGCAUGUCCUUCUGGGAAAGAUUCAUCGGUAUGGGAUGGGGUCGCGUCCUAUCAGCUUGAUGGCGGGGUAACGGCCCACCAUGGCUUCGACGGGUAGCCGGCCUGAGAGGGCGACCGGCCACAUUGGGACUGAGAUACGGCCCAGACUCCUACGGGAGGCAGCAGUGGGGAAUAUUGCACAAUGGGCGCAAGCCUGAUGCAGCGACGCCGCGUGCGGGAUGACGGCCUUCGGGUUGUAAACCGCUUUUGACUGGGAGCAAGCCCUUCGGGGUGAGUGUACCUUUCGAAUAAGCACCGGCUAA
rnacentral:rRNA from 1 species